rfam:Prevotella corporis strain MJR7716 genomic scaffold Scaffold738, whole genome shotgun sequence.
GCGCCUGUGGCGGAAUUGGUAGACGCGCUAGACUUAGGAUCUAGUGUUUAUGACGUGCAGGUUCGAUUCCUGUCAGGCGCA